rnacentral:rRNA from 1 species
UACGUAGGGUGCGAGCGUUGUCCGGAAUUAUUGGGCGUAAAGGGCUCGUAGGCGGUUUGUCGCGUCGGGAGUGAAAUCCACUGGCUUAACUGGUGGCUUGCUUUCGAUACGGGCAGACUGGAGGUAUGCAGGGGAGAACGGAAUUCCUGGUGUAGCGGUGAAAUGCGCAGAUAUCAGGAGGAACACCGGUGGCGAAGGCGGGUCUCUGGGCCGAUAUUGACGCUGAGGAGCGAAAGCGUGGGGAGCAAACAGG